rnacentral:rRNA from 1 species
UGGGGAAUAUUGGGCAAUGGAGGAAACUCUGACCCAGCGACGCCGCGUGCGGGAUGAAGGCCUUCGGGUUGUAAACCGCUUUCAGCAGGGAAGAAGCGAAAGUGACGGUACCUGCAGAAGAAGCACCGGCUAACUAUGUGCCAGCAGCCGCGGUAAUACAUAGGGUGCAAGCGUUGUCCGGAAUUAUUGGGCGUAAAGAGCUCGUAGGUGGUUCGUUACGUCGGAUGUGAAAAUCUGGGGCUCAACCCCAGACCUGCAUUCGAUACGGGCGAACUAGAGUGUGGUAGGGGAGACUGGAAUUCCUGGUGUAGCGGUGGAAUGCGCAGAUAUCAGGAGGAACACCAAUGGCGAAGGCAGGUCUCUGGGCCAUUACUGACACUGAGGAGCGAAAGCGUGGGGAGCGAACAGGAUUAGAUACCCAAGUAGUCCCUGAGCGGGCUGGCAAGGCGCAU